UGAAACCUUCUUUGGUGUGGCGUGGCGGCUUACAGCGGGAAUAUGGAGGUGUGCAUGCUUAGUGUGCACAGUUACUAGCAAUGUAUGUAUCGCAAUGUUGUAUAUGCAGUAAAAAAUAUUGUGUGCAGAGAAAAGUAAGCAAAUAUGAAGUAUUACACGUAUAUUUGGUCCUUAAAUAGUGAUGGCCAUGACUGACCGGGAAAGAAGCUCAUUUUGGCGUUAUGGCGUAUUGAGAUAUUGUUAGUGUGUAAAUAGAUGGAAAAUUUAAUGUUUCAUAUACCUUGCUACUGAAAGUGCAGUAAACAUAGCGAGUUAUGCUAUAAUGGACAUGUAUCCGGUCCUCAACACAACGUACUCUGGAUGGUGGCCCAGACAGAAUCCAGUACACCUGCAGAGCAAAGGAAGGAGGACCAGUUCAGGUGAAAGUGGUCAUAUUCACCAGGGAGCAGAAAAGGAAAGUAUUUCAGGAUGUUCAUGACUCCAGUAGAGGAGGAGUUCACAUGGGCAUCACUAAGACUAUUGCCAAAACUACAGAGAGAUUUUAUUGCAUAGGCAUUAAGAAAGAUGUAGUGAAUUGGACAGGUGAGUGUGACUGACGUCAGAGAUCUGAAAAGAUGAAAACUGUAGCACCAGUCCUGAAUCCUAUUAAGAGUGAAGGCCCUUGGCAGAUGGUUGAUGUAGAUUUGAUGGGGCCCUAAAAGAAACUCAGUCUGGCAACAAGGACAUCCUUACUUUAACAGACUUACACUCCAGAUUUAUAGAGGCAUUUCCACUGCCUUCAAAAUCUGCUGAUCUGGUAUGUGAUGUAUUGCAGAGUAUUUUCCACUGUUCUGGUCCCCCAGAGAAAACCUUAACUGAUCAGGGAAAGGAAUUCUGUAAUACAUUAAAUGACACUCUUUUCCAUUGUCCAAGUGAAGCACCUUGUAACACUUGCUUGCCACCCCCAAACUAAUGGCCAGGAUGAGAGGACCAACCAGACGCUGAAGGGCUCUUUAAUUAAAUUGGUAAAUGAGAAUCAGAAUGACUGGGACAAACACUCGGAGGCUGCUCUGUUUGGUAUAUGAACAUCAAUGCAAGCUUCAAUAAAGUGUUCUCCCUCUUUCUUGAAGUUUGGUAGACAGCCAACACUGUUGAACUGCACCAAAAUGAUCUUCAUGAAAAAGUUGAUAUUUUAGAAUUCCCAAAUUUGAGCCCCUCAGAUGAGUCAGUGGAAUCAAGAAAGAGUCGCUUGACAGCCAUAAAAGAAAAAGUUGCCAGUCAUGUUGCUAAAGCACAAGCUGAACAAAAUAAAUAAUAUGAAAUGAGGAAAGCUAAAGGACAUAAGUCAUUUGACUUUAAGAUUGGAAUGAAAGUUGUUGUAAAGAAUAAUAAAAAGCAAGGAAGGAAAGGUUCCUGGCUUGAGGAGGACUGGCUUGGGCCUUAUGACACACCCAGCAUCUUAGAUAACUCUGUACAAAUCACCACAAAUGGAAAACUCCUUCAAAAUAAAACUGCAUUAAUUCACAUUAAACUUUAUAAAUCCCUCAGUAGGUACUGCACAGGAGCAUGCACAACUUUGUGGCCAAAUGCUGCUGCCAUCAGCUGCAGGGAGUGCUUCUGCUGUCUCUGUCUUUCCAGAAUCCAUGGCAUCUGGGGAGGAGCCUGGAGAGGACAUUCCCCCAGCCACAGACCAUGCUGGUGUGAGGCAGCAGCCUGAGGUGCUCCUUUGUAAAGGAUUGCACCAUAUCACUCCCCUUGAGGUGCUCCUUUGUGAAGGGUCGCACCAUAUCACUCCCCUGCCUCUCACCACUGUCAGUAAGGAAUGCAUUUCAGAAUCCUCAGCAUAUGGGGAGAAGCCUGGAGAGGACACUUCCCCAGCCACAGACCAUGCUGGUGUGAGGCAGCAGCCUGAGGUGCUCCUUUGUGAAGGGUCACAGCAUAUCACUCCCCUGCCUCUCACCACUGUUGGGAAGGAAUGCAUUUCAGGCGUCCCCAACCCCUCCCGCCCUGAGUGAACACACCCCCAGACAAAGCCUCUAAUGGGGCCAAGGGGAAGGGAGCAGCCUAGGCCCCUUGCAAUGCUGAGAGAGGUGCAGCCAGCAAGGAGGCAAGUGGCUCAUUUGUCAGUUCUAACCAUGAGGAGCUGGUGUGCACCUACCACGCCCACAGCCACACCAAUGGAGGGCCAACGACACCCAAGUCUGGCCGGUGUGGGUGGGAGUGCAGCUGAGAGUGGUGGUGUGAUGAGUGUGGAGGCUUAAGGCUUAUAGGUGUGGUGACAAGUAGUGAGGUCACCACUGAAUCUGACACACCUGCUGAGCCUGACCUGGUGUCUUUCUGUGCUACCCUGGGCAACAACCGAGCCCUGCGAGUCCCUACCCUCUUCAAGCCAGACGGGGACUACCAGACUGUGGCUGACAUGGUGGGUGGCAGUCACUCCAUUACAGAGUCAACUACCAGUCACGAGAAAGUUUGGACGAGGCCAGAAGUGCGUCAUCCCACCGCAGGUCACGGGGACAGGAACUGCAGGCCAGGCAGGGUCACCGUCCCUCCCACGGCGACCCGGAUUAUAGCUAUGCUCACCCUGUGAAGAAGCAGUACCUUCCCCCACCCCUCCACUGUCCUCCACUGACAGCAACAGGUGUAUGAGUUAGUGAUAGUGAGGUCACUGACAGACAGACUCGCCAAAUUGUUCAUUAGUAAAAGUUCCAUGGCCACUAAGUUUGUAAUCUGCUUCUGUGUUUGUAUCUUUCCAGCCUUUUUAUUCAUUGAUGUACACUUUUGCCUUUCACUGCUUCCUCCUGUAAUCCAUUCUAUAUCUUUAUAUAUUUACAUGGAAAGAUAUGUUUGCAUUAUUUGGACAUUCUCUCUCUCUCUCUCUCUCUCUCUCUCUCUCUCUCUCUCUCUCUCUCUCUCUCUCUCUCUCUCUCUCUCUCUCUCUCUCUCUCUCUCUCUCUCUCUCUCUCUCUCUCUCUCUCUCUCUCUCUCUAAUAUUGAGGUUCAUCUCUUGUCCAUAACAAAAGGGCAUUUCUGUCUGGUUCCUCAGGUUGGUUGACUAACCCUAAAGCUGCAGGGGUUUUCACACAUUUCUCCAUUCCAUAUGUCUCUACUCCUUUGUGGAAAGAUGUGUGUUAUUUAGGAAGCUCUCUUCUGUCCAAGUUUCUUUUCAUCUUUAUCAUCAUGUGUCAAGUCAUCCAGUUCUGGCACUAUCUUAGUGGCUGUUCUUUGUAUUCUUUCAAAUCUCUACAUGAAACAUCACCGAAUUAAUUAAGCUUAGCAGAAAUUAUGUAAUGUGCCCUACUGAUGCUGGUGUGAAGGUGAGGUGUUUGUAGUGAGCCGUGUGAUGCCUUCCCCAGUGCUGAAUAUGGAGAGAGCAGCCAGGCGACACCAUACACUGGAGUUUUCUGAGGAGGAGUGCGACCACCCCUUCAUCAAGCAAGCAGGAGUGGAGCCUCUGGAGCAGCUGAUGGCUGACCUGGAGCUGGAGAAGAUGGUUCAGGAUGCCAGCAAGACAGCUCUUUGACACUUCCAGUAGUGGUAGAAUCCUCCCAUCACCACCCUCACUCCUCUGCCACUGCUGACCACAACACUGAGGCUGUAUUCUUCAGGACCUGAUUGUUGCUUGGACUUGAGGCUUCCCUGCUUGGGACUGGCAGUUCUGCAAAUGCUGUUAGUGACAGCAUCCGUAGGACAACAGUGUAGGUGGUGUCCUCUGGAGGUCCUUCACCUGCAUGGAGCUAAGUCCACCUGUUGUAAUACUUGAAUGCCUUUCUUCAACCAUCUUGAAUUAGGAACAUCUUGCAACAACCACAUACCAAACAUUCCACAGUCAUUACAAAUAUUCUUUAUACAAGCUAACCAUGGAGAAGUAUAAAGCCCUAACCUAUCCAGCUGCAAUAGACAUUGGUACAUUACAUAACACAAUUUAGUAUUUUUACCUGAAAUUAGCCUAGACCAAUAACCUAUCAUUUUUUCUUUAUAUAAAUAUCAAGUGGAAAUACACCCAGUUCACCAUACACCAUGUCAUUACAAGUAUUCUUAUGAACACCCAAAACCUGUUUUAGAAAUUUCAUGUACAUAUACUCUAACUCCCUAGCAAUAUGGUAACCCCAAAUUUCAGAUGCAUAAGUCAAUAUAGGUAACACCGUGGCGGUAAAUAAUUCGAGUUGUAUAUCCACUGGCAAGUCAAACUUCCUACACUUACUUAUUUAUUAAUGAGUACAUUGCUCCUGUGGCUGUCUCUUUUAGCUCCAGCUCACCUUUGUGAAACCUCCAAUUAUAAUUUAAUAACACUCCAAUAUACUUAUACUCUGUCACUACUUCAUUGUUUUUACCACCAAAUUCCAAUUCAUAGAUAAAUUUUCUCUUCCCUACUUUUGUUUUGUUACAAUUUAGCUUCAAUUUCCAUUCAUUACAAUAUAAAUUCAGAGCAACCAGUGCCUGCUUCAUUCCAUCCUCACUGUCACACAAAAUAACUGUAUCAUCUGCAUACAUAAUAACAAAUAGUUUAAGGUACAUGUUUAAGAAAUCAUCACCAAAAUUUACAUAACUGCAAUUAUAUUCAAUUAAUUUACUUUCAAUAUCAUUCAAAUAAAAAGCUAAAAGCACUGGUGAUAAAUUUUCCCCCUGUCUUAACCCUACAUUGCAAACAAAGGUGUCUGAAAUCUCCUGGUUAAGCAUGACACAUGAUUUGAUAUUAUCAUACAUAUUUUUUAUUACAUUUAGAAUUUUCCCUUGCACCUUUUCCUUCACAAGCUUACACCAUAAACCUUCACGCCAUACCAUAUCAAAGGAUUUCUUGUGAUCAACAAAUAAACAAAAUAGCUUUCUCUUUUUCCAGUUAAAUAAUCAAUUACACAUUUCAACAAAAAUAUAUGAUCCAGAGUGGAAUAUCGAUGUCUAAAGCCCGCUCGUGUUUCAUUAAUGAUAGAUAAGGUGUUUGAAUAAUCAUAAGUCUUUCAUUAAGUAUGGAGGUGAAGAGCUUCCCCAUGCAGCUAAGUAAGGUGAUGCCCCUGUAAUUACUAACAUCCUGGAUGUCUCCCUUGUUUUUAUAGAGUGGCACUAUUGUACCCUGUUUACAACAGGAAGUGUACUUUGUAUCUUACAUUUAAUUCUUGCAUGUAGUCCACAGUGUACAUCAGUGUGUGUGUAUUAACCUAGCCGUAUUGUACAGGGCACGAGCCAAAGCUCAUUUUGUCCUGUCUCCAUAACCAUAUUUAUCUGGUUUGUCUUUAAACACUGUUAACCACAACUACUUUUUCCUUCAAAUCAUUCCAGAUUUCAAUAGUUCUAUAUGGGAAGCUGUAUUUCUUGACGUUGCUUGAACAUACACUCCUUUAUUUUCUUCCCAUGCCUCCUUGUCUGUCUCUCUCCCUGCUCCAUCUGUGGUGCCAAGUCAUUUCUGUCUGUUCUUUCUGUAUUGUUUACUAUUACUAAUUUGUACAUUGUUAUCAGGUCUCCUCUUUCUCUUCUCCCUUGUAGUGUUGGUAAUCCCAUCUCUUCAAGUCUUUCUUCAUAGCUUAAGUCUUUUAAUUCUGGUACCAUCUUUGUCGCUAUCCUCUGUAUUCUUUCCAGUCUCCGUAUGUCUUUUUUUCUAUGUGGAGCUCAAACUACUGCUGCAUGUUCAAUUUAGGAUGUAUCAUGCUUAUUAUAACUUGCUUCAUAAUUUCUUUAUCUAAAUAGUUAAACACCACCCUAAUGUCUAUCAACAAGCUGUAUAUAGAGCUAAAUAUUCUGAUUAUGUGCCUUUCAGGUGAUAGUGUGUCCUGAAUCAUUACUCAAAAAUCUUUUUCCUCAUUACUUUUUGUUAUUAUUUCUCCUCCCAUUUUGUAAUUCCAUGGUCUCUUUUUACUUUUUCUAUUUCCAUCAUGUGGCAUUUUCUGGCAUUAAAUUCUAGUUUCCAUCUUUGGCUCCAUGCAUGUAUCUUGCCAAUAUCCUUUUGUAAUUCCUUGCUGUCAGUUUCAUUCUUUAUU